CUUGGUCGAGGUCACGAUCUGCGGCGCGGGCAGGAAUCCACCGUCGGACCCGAUGAUCGUGAACGGGACGACCGUGCCGGCGUUGUCGAGCUGGAUGUUGAACGUGCGGCCGUUGGAGGCGGCCAGCGUCCGGAACCGGUACUGCUGGCGAUUCACGUUGAGGUUCGGCCACACCUUGCCGUUGACCAGGUUGAUGUCGGAGUCGUCACCGGGAGCCCAGUACGCGUUCUUGAAGUUGUCGCGGUCAGGGCCGCCGCGGGGGAACUCCAGCUCAC
rnacentral:misc_RNA from 1 species